UACAGAGGUCUCAAGCGUUGUUCGGAUUCAUUGGGCGUAAAGGGCGCGUAGGCGGCGGGGUAAGUCGGGUGUGAAAUCUCAGAGCUCAACUCUGAAACUGCACUCGAUACUGCUCUGCUUGAGGACUGGAGAGGAGACUGGAAUUCACGGUGUAGCAGUGAAAUGCGUAGAUAUCGUGAGGAAGACCAGUGGCGAAGGCGGCUCACUGGCCCGAUACUGACGCUGAGGUGCGAAAGCGUGGGGAGCAAACAGG
rnacentral:rRNA from 1 species